rnacentral:rRNA from 1 species
GAUGAACGCUGGCGGCGUGCCUAAUACAUGCAAGUCGAGCGAACGGAUGAGAAGCUUGCUUCUCUGAUGUUAGCGGCGGACGGGUGAGUAACACGUGGAUAACCUACCUAUAAGACUGGGAUAACUUCGGGAAACCGGAGCUAAUACCGGAUAAUAUUUUGAACCGCAUGGUUCAAAAGUGAAAGACGGUCUUGCUGUCACUUAUAGAUGGAUCCGCGCUGCAUUAGCUAGUUGGUAAGGUAACGGCUUACCAAGGCAACGAUGCAUAGCCGACCUGAGAGGGUGAUCGGCCACACUGGAACUGAGACACGGUCCAUACUCCUACGGGAGGCAGCAGUAGGGAAUCUUCCGCAAUGGGCGAAAGCCUGACGGAGCAACGCCGCGUGAGUGAUGAAGGUCUUCGGAUCGUAAAACUCUGUUAUUAGGGAAGAACAUAUGUGUAAGUAACUGUGCACAUCUUGACGGUACCUAAUCAGAAAGCCACGGCUAACUACGUG